rnacentral:rRNA from 1 species
UACGUAGGGACCAAGCGUUGUUCGGAUUUACUGGGCGUAAAGGGCGCGUAGGCGGCAUGACAAGUCACUUGUGAAAUCUCCGGGCUUAACUCGGAACGGUCAAGUGAUACUGUCGCGCUAGAGUGCGGAAGGGGCAAUCAGAAUUCUUGGUGUAGCGGUGAAAUGCGUAGAUAUCAAGAGGAAUACCUGAGGUGAAGACGGGUUGCUAGGCCGACACUGACGGCUGAAGCGCGGAAAGCCCAGGGGAGCAAACGGG